AGGUCUGUGGAAGGAAAGAUGGAUACAGCAAGAGGGUCUAUCCAAGAACCCAGUAAAUAUGCUGCAUAAAUAAAUCAGGUGUUCUAAGUUUGGCAAGUUAAAUUCAGCAAAAAAUCUUUGAAUACCUGUGGAAUGUAAGCUGUAGUUUCUGUCCUCGGGUCCUUAAAAUUUCAAAAAGCCCCAAAUUCAAGCUUAUUAGUAGCAAGGAAGCCCUUCCAAAUAUUAACUUACAAUCAAUAUUAGAAAAAACUGAGUCAUUUAUUGUGUCUUAUUUUGAAAACAAGCUAUUUGCCACGUGUAAAUAAGAUCCCUACUCUAAAGAUGUCUUUUUAAUAGUUGAAAUAUGAGAUGCUGAGUAAUAAAACUUGAAGUACAGCGGAGGAAUUCUGAGAGGGCAAGUGAUACAUUGCCUUGAAAUAAUAUUCUCAAUGCCAUUGUUGAAUCCUCUAUGCUCUUGGCCCUUUGCACAAUCUCAAUCUUCACACCACCCUGAAAGGUAAAUAUUAUUAUCUUCAUUUUACAGAUGAGGAAAUUGAAGCUUACGUAAAGUAAAUUGUCCGAGGUCACAUAGUUAAUAAGUGGUUGAAUGGGGAUUUAAUUCCAGGCCUGCUUGAUUUCAAAGUGAUUGAGUGAGAUAGAAAUGAAGAGAAGAGAGUGGUUUUUAAGAAUGAAUCUCAAUUUUCUGCAACCCUGUAGCAACUCCUGCCUUUCUCAUGGCCCUUAUCAUAUUCUGCUGUUAUUUCUGGAUUUCUUACAUAACCUUUACUGAAUUAUAAGCUAUUCUAUUUAAGAGAAGGGACCACACACAAACCAUUUUUGUAUUCCCUCAGGACCUUGUUCAGUGUCUGGAACAAAGUAGGUAUUCAAGAUACAUUUCACUUAUUCCUCAUAUAUUUGCUGGGUGUUUACCCUGUUGUUAAGCCCAGUAAAGAAGACAAGUCAUGCCUUCCAGGAGCUUCUAGCUCAGUGGAGAAAGUGGUUAAAGACCCAGUGCUCUAAACCAAGUGUGGCACUACAGUGAUGGAAAGUAGGGGAAGCUGACUGACUGGUGGGCUCAGCCAAGGCUUCCCAGGGAAGCCUUGUCAUCCAAAACUAUUCUUGAAGCAUCAGUAAGAGCCAAGCAAAGAGAGUGGGGAAAGUAUCACAAAGAGAGAAGGAACAGGAAUGGACAAAGUCCCCGAAAUUAGAGAUAAGCAUAUAGCCUGUUUCCAAGAAUUACAAGUCACCUGGAGCUUACUGGAGGAUAAGAGAAGCAGGGACCAGCAAGAGAGAUGGUGGUAAGGUAUCUGCUGUAAAGUCCAAAAGAACUGGAUACACCAUGAGAAAGUGUUUCUCUAUCCUGAUCUUUCUGGGGAGUUUUUUUGCAGGGGAGAGGCAAGACAAGACAUAUAUUUGAGGAAGACGAUCAUUAGUUGAAUUGUGGAGAACAGACUGGAAGAGGAUGCUACUGGUUGCAGGAAGCAGGAAAGAAAACCAAGGAGGCAAUCUCUAAAGCCAAUGAGAGGCAAGGUCUUGCCAUUAGAGAAGAGAAGGCCAUUUUGUAUACAUAGCUGACCCUUGAACAACGUAGGUUUGAACUGCGAGAGUCCACCUAUAUUUGGAUUUUCUUCAAUAAAAGUAACAUGGAGUGUAUCUGCCUCUCCUGCCUCCUCUUCCAUCUUUUCCAUCUCUUCCACCUCUGCCAUCCUUGAAAGAACAAGACCAACUGCUUCCUCCUCUUCCUCAGCCCAUUCAAUGUGAAGAUGAUGAGGAUGAAGACUUUUAUGAUAAUCUACUCCCAUUUAUGUGGACUUGUGCUGGAUUAGGAAUGAGAAGACCUGACUUUAGUGUUUUCUUGAUGAGUGACCUUGGAUCAGACAUAUGUGCUCUUUGACUCAAGUUCCACAUCUAUAAAUGAAGAUACCUGGUCUUCCUACUUCACAAUGUUGUUUUGAAAAUCAAAUGUAAUACUGCAUAAUAAAGUGACUCAUAUAUUC